rnacentral:rRNA from 1 species
CGGUGCUAAUACCGGAUGUAGCGUUUGGAUCGCCUGAUUUGGGCGUGAAAGGUUGGCUUUUGCUAACGCCGAGAGAUAAGCCUGCGUCCCAUUAGCUAGUUGGUGAGGUAACGGCUCACCAAGGCAACGAUGGGUAGCCGGGCUGAGAGGGUGAACGGGCACACUGGGACUGAGAUACGGCCCAGACUCCUACGGGAGGCAGCAGUGAGGAAUAUUGCGCAAUGGACGAAAGUCUGACGCAGCAACGCCGCGUGAGGGAUGAAGCUCUUAGGAGUGUAAACCUUUUUCAGGAGGGAAGAACGGGUAGCAUUCGAACAGGGUGUCACUGUGACGGUACCUCCAGAAUAAGCCCCGGCUAACUCCGUGCCAGCAGCCGUGGUAAUACGGGGGGGGCUAGCGUUGUCCGGAAUUAUUGGGCGUAAAGGGCGCGUAGGCGGGAUAGUCAGUCUGAGGUGAAAGCCCAGGGCUUAACUCUGGGUUUGCCUUGGAUACUGGUAUUCUUGAGUUCGGCAGAGGGAAGUGGAAUUCCUGGUGUAGCGGUGAAAUGCGUAGAUAUCAGGAAGAACACCGGUGGCGAAGGCGGCUUCCUGGUCCGAUACUGACGCUGAGGCGCGAAAGCGUGGGGAGCGAACAGGAUUAGAUACCCUGGUAGUCCACGCUGUAAACGAUGGGCACUAGGUGUUGGAUAUUGAUUUCAGCGCCGGAGCUAACGCAUUAAGUGCCCCGCCUGGGGAAUACGAUCGCAAGAUUGAGACUCAAAGGAAUUGACGGGGGCCCGCACAAGCGGUGGAGCAUGUGGUUUAAUUCGAUGCAACGCGAAGAACCUUACCUGGGCUUGAACUGCAUCUGACGAUCUCUGAAAGGGGAUUUUCCUUCGGGACAGGUGUAGAGGUGCUGCAUGGCUGUCGUCAGCUCGUGCCGUGAGGUGUUGGGUUAAGUCCCGCAACGAGCGCAACCCCUGCCCUUAGUUGCCAACAGGUAAAGCUGGGAACUCUAAGGGGACUGCCCCGGAUAACGGGGAGGAAGGCGGGGAUGACGUCAAGUCAUCAUGGCCCUUACGUCCAGGGCUACACACGUGCUACAAUGGCCGGUACAGAGGGUAGCGAACCCGCGAGGCGAAGCCAAUCCCCAAAACCGGUCUCAGUUCGGAUUGUAGUCUGCAACUCGACUGCAUGAAGUU